rnacentral:rRNA from 1 species
UACGGAGGGGGCUAGCGUUGUUCGGAAUUACUGGGCGUAAAGCGCGCGUAGGCGGACCUGCAAGUCGGGGGUGAAAGCCCGAGGCUCAACCUCGGAACUGCCUUCGAUACUGCGGGUCUCGAGUCCGGGAGAGGUGAGUGGAAUUCCUAGUGUAGAGGUAAAAUUCGUAGAUAUUAGGAAGAACACCAGUGGCGAAGGCGGCUCACUGGCCCGGUACUGACGCUGAGGCGCGAAAGCGUGGGUAGCAAACGGG